rnacentral:tRNA from 1 species
ACUUAAGUAGCUUAUAUAGAGUUUAAUAUUGAAGAUAUUAAGGAAGUAACAUACUCUUAAGUA